rnacentral:rRNA from 1 species
AUUGAACGCUGGCGGCAGGCCUAACACAUGCAAGUCGAACGAGUGGCGGACGGGUUAGUAAUGUCUGGGAAACUGCCUGAUGGAGGGGGAUAACUACUGGACACGGUAUCUAAUACCGCAUACCAUCGGAUGUGCCCAGAUGGGAUUAGCUAGUAGUUGGGGUAAAGGCUCACCUAGGCGACGACCCCUAGCUGGUCUGAGAGGAUGACCAGCAACACUGGAACUGGGACACGGUCAAGACUCCUACGGGAGGGAGCAGUGGGAAAUAUUGCACAAUGGGCGAAAGCCUGAUGCAGCCAUGCCGCGUGUAUGAAGAAGGCCUUCGGGUUGUAAAGUACUUUAAGCGGGGAGGCGUUACCCGCAGAAGAAGCACCGGCUAACUCCGUGCCAGCAGCCGCGGUAAUUA